UACGAAGGGUGCAAGCGUUAAUCGGAAUUACUGGGCGUAAAGGGUGCGUAGGCGGUUGUUUAAGUCUGUCGUGAAAUCCCCGGGCUCAACCUGGGAAUGGCGAUGGAUACUGGGCAGCUAGAGUGUGUCAGAGGAUGGUGGAAUUCCCGGUGUAGCGGUGAAAUGCGUAGAGAUCGGGAGGAACACCGGUGGCGAAGGCGGCAUCCUGGACCAACACUGACGCUGAGGAGCGAAAGCCAGGGGAGCAAACGGG
rnacentral:rRNA from 1 species